GGAUGCGAUCAUACCAGCACUAAAGAACCGGAUCCCAUCAGAACUCCGAAGCUAAGCGUGCUUGGGCGAGAGUAGUACUAGGAUGGGGAAGUCCUCGUGUUGCAUUCC
rfam:Triticum aestivum genome assembly, contig: Triticum_aestivum_CS42_TGACv1_scaffold_087462_1DS